ACUCAUCCCCAAUUAUAAGUUCUAAAGUAUGCUCACCUGCUUAGGAACUCCUUCACAUGAUUUUUCUUGAAUUGGCUCACAAUCGCAAGUGGAGUCUGCAAGUGUUCUUUAUUGAUUUGUGAAAUUUCCAUUAAGUUCUUCAACUGAACUUUGUUAUGUGGCAUCCCAGAAUAUGAAGAUAACGGUGGGUCACUCAAUUCAUCUUCGACUUUAACUGUCUAAGGAUUGUCAGAUGAUGGAGGGGGUAUCUCAUUAGAAACGCUGUGGUAAUAGGUUGCUUUUCUGAAUUGACAUUGUUCUUUCCGGUUUGCAUACAUGAUGGGGAGAUCAUGAGUGGCAUCAACGGUUUGGGCUCGGAUGCUUAUAAUGCUGAGGGCGGCACAGAUUGGUACCGAGGCAGCGCACCUCUACUGUUUACUAGCACCUUGCGGCGGUAAGGUGCGCUAGGUACACAAGAGGAGAAGAGAGUGGCGGUCUCCUUUGCAAUCUCCUAGCCGCGAAGUGGAACGCCUGUCGCUUGGAGUGUUUGAGCAGGAGGAAAGGAGCAAUGGAGAUCGGAGUACAGUACCAGGCGAGCACCCUCCAAGGAGCACCAGAAUAUCUAUCCUGAGUUGUUUUCCUUCAAAGGUACAGGUACGAGAACCUGAUCAAUAAGACAUUGAUUCAGAUCUAAGUCAUCAAAGAAAGAUAAACUUUGGGAAUUAGCCGUCAAGGUAAAAGUGCUUCAUACAUGAGAAGGAGGUGAAGUGGGGUGAGGUGAACCUUUGAUGUAUACUUCAAAGCUUUAGGGAAAGUGCAUGUUAAGUUUGGAUACUUUAUCAGGUUAAUUUAAUAACAUGUUAGUUGGUCUGCAUUUGAAUGUGUUGAUAAAUAGACUAGAGCCAAGAAUUGAAAGAGUAGUUGUUGUCAUGGUAAAAUUUAGCAUUUUUUUAUUUGUGAGCUUUAGCAUUCUGAAGUCCUCUAUUUUGUAGUACACCAGGUGGAUGAAAUAAUUAUUGCGCUAGGUAGUUAUGUCUCUUUGGUAUUGGGUUUAUGAAAGAUAAUCAACUAACCUUCUGUAUAUUCAGAAGUUUGUCUCAAAAGUUGCUAUCUGGGUGUGUUUAUGCUUUAGCGGUGUUCUCAAAAAGGUCUUUAUUUCAGUUUAUUGCCCUCUAUUUUCGACAUCCAGGUUCGUGUUUAUACACUCUUGUUUGGCUUAUAUGUUACAAUUCAAUGUUCAUUAAUUUUCUGCUACUGCUGCUGUAAAAUAGACAAGCUAGAGUCAAACCAGCUUAGAUUUAGUAGAAUAAUUAGUUUUUAUUAUUUUCUUUGGUUGCAGAUUCUGUUUUCAUACUGUGCUGCUCUGUAAUGUUUCUUGCAAGUGUGAAAUGAUGAUCGAUGCUGUUUUGGCAUUACAGAACUAGGAUGAAACCAAGGUUGUGUACAUCUAACAUUAGGCUGAGAUGGAUCUUCUUUUCUUUAAGUUGCUGCCUAGAUAGUUACUGAGCUGACGGAGGAAUUCCAUGGUGCAUGUACCCAAGGACUCCUCUUCAGGUUACGCGGUUGAAGACUGUGUACCACAUUUCAGCCUCAACUUGAUGAGUUUGUGUUUCUGAAAUGAUUUUGUCUCCUUACAUACUUUAAAUUUCUUUGUUGCUCAGUAUGUUUGUUCAAUAUUAAUACAUGUUGUUUCCAUAAGCAAGUUUGACGACUUGAUUCCCUCGUGUGUAGUGUAGCGAGUUUUUCGUUAUUGCAGAAACAAAAGAAACAUGCUUGAGACCUCGGUAGUAAAGAUUAUUAUUUUUUACUUUGUGCUAAAAACGUGGUAUUAUCAUUUCAAUGGGUGUGUAGUUCAGGACAUAUUUCUACGAGAGAGAGGUCUGUGAUGUAUGCAAGGCAAAAGCAGAAGAUGAAAAAUUUGCUUGCAUCCUCUAGCUGCGCAAACUGGCAAAUGUCAGCUACAGGUAAUGUUACAUCCUAUGUAUGGCUGAAUUAACUCUCUUUACCUAAGAGAAUGCUGGUCGACAUUGUUGAGUAGUAAAUGGACUUGAUCGUGCUUAUAUCACAAACAAACAUGACUACCGCUAACUAUAUGUUACACCAGUUAUUCUUUUAUCGUUGCUGAAGUUAAUUGAUUUUGAUACGGCAAUCCAUAGCCUCCCCUCUGAUUUGAUCACACAUCUUUUUCUGAAAGCUUGAAGUAUUUGACUUUAUUUGGUCCAUUGAAUUUGACGUAGAACAAAAAAGUCCAUUGAAUUGUUCUUUUCCUUAAUCUUUCGCAGCUUAUGUAUACUGGUAUAGAUAGAUUUGAACACCACAUCCAUUGCUAGGUACCAUGCACUUUUGAUUCCAGCUAAAGCUAUAUUAUUGUGUUCUCUAUUGUUUUGCGGGAAUAUAGUAUUGUGUUCUCUAUUCAUUGAAGAUGCUCCAGUGAGUCACUGAACCACUCUGGAUACAUCUUUCGUUUCAUAGGUAAAUAUUUAUGGAAUUAUAUGCUCCGGUCACAUGCAACUAUACGGUAGCCCGACACUUCCACAUAGUCCACUAUAUUAGAAGAUGUGAAGGUGCAGCACAAAAACUUGUUCUCAUGUGUGAUGUCUAAUUGUCAAGUAAUGGAGACGAGAAGCAAGCAUGGCUGCUCUUGAGCUCGCUAAAAUUUCUAGAUUGUGUGCCCUUAAUGGUUUUCUAAUAAAUUGCCAACUAUAAGAGGCGAAAUUCCCACUCUGUGAUCGAAAUAAAGCUGAUUCUUUCUAUGGAAAUUAAUUAGCACUUUUGCAUUUAAUUUGUAUCAUAAAUUAUUUUAGGGCGUCAUACUAUGAAUGCAGAUUUGGUGCACAUGGGCACCACUGCUCUCAGUUUUUAAAAUAUUUAAAACUGUACAUCUGCGUUUUAAAAAAUUGUCACAUUUAUUCCAUGAAUACAUACACAUGUCCUGAAUAUUUGUGUGAAGUUUCGGUAAAAAUUGCAUUGUAUUUUGAGCUACAGGAAAAAAACAAAUUUGUGGCUACCUACAUGGGUAGAUAUUUGUCAGAAAUUUGUUUUUUUGUAUAGCUCAAAAUACAACAUAUUUUUUCUCCAAAUUUCUUACCGUACCUUCUGAAUAUUUAUAUAUAUGUGUGUCUUUUUUUAAAUCCAAAAGGUAUAAUAUUUUUAAAUCAGGAGCACUGGUGCUCUUGUGUCAAAGACACUUUUCGGUCAUACUAUUGAACUUUUUGUCAGUCCAUUCUUCUAUAUGUGUAGCCAUUUAUGCAGUUCUGUUCGUAAGAUUGUGCAAUACUCUACUUGACACUUUGAAUAGGAAAUUGCAAACCGUCCAAUUUAUUCAAAUAUUUAUAUGGUCCAGAUUCCAGAAAUAUUGAUUUUCUUUCUAUAAGAUGGAUGGGCUCGAAAA